rnacentral:rRNA from 1 species
UCCGUAGGGUGCGAGCGUUAAUCGGAAUUACUGGGCGUAAAGCGAGCGCAGGCGGUUGGUUAAGUCUGAUGUGAAAGCCCCGGGAUCAACUUGGGAAUGGCAUUGGAAACUGGCUGGCUAGAGUGUGGCAGAGGGGGGUGGAAUUCCGCGUGUAGCAGUGAAAUGCGUAGAGAUGCGGAGGAACACCGAUGGCGAAGGCAGCCCCCUGGGCUGACACUGA